rnacentral:rRNA from 1 species
AUGCGUAGGGUACGAACGUUAUCCGGAGUGAUUGGGCGUAAAGAGAUGCGUAGGCGGUUUGAUAAGUCUUGAGUUAAAGUCCACGGCUCAACCGUGGAAAAGCUCUAGAAACUAUCAGACUUGAGAUAUAGAGGGGUAAAUGGAAUUCCGAGUGGAGUGGUGAAAUACGUUGAUAUUCGGAAGAACACCAGUGGCGAAGGCGAUUUACUGGCUAUAUUCUGACGCUAAGGCUCGAAAGUAUGGGUAGCAAAACGGAUUAGAUACCCGUGUAGUCCAUACCGUAAACGAUGAAUGCUAGGUGUUUGGUUCAACUGUCUAAUAUCUUCGGAUUUUUAGAUGGAAGAAUUAAGUGCCGCAGUUAACGCGAUAAGCAUUCCGCCUGGGAAGUACGGCCGCAAGGCUAAAACUCAAAUGAAUUGGCGGGGACCCGCACAAGCGGAGGAGCGCGUGGUUUAAUUCGAUGGUAAUCGAAGAACCUUACCAGGGUUUGACAUGUAUCUGCAUGCCCCCAGAGACGGGGGAGGCCUUCGAGGGUGAUACACAGGUGCUGCAUGGCCGUCGUCAGCUCGUGUCGUGAGAUGUAGGGUUAAGUCCCGAAACGAGCGCAACCCCCAUCCUAUGUUACAAGUGUCUUAGGAAACUGCCUCGGUAAAACGGGGAGGAGGGAGGGGAUGAUGUCUGGUCCGCAUAGCCCUUAUGUCCUGGGCUACACACGCGCUACAAUGGUCGGUACAACGGGGAGCCAAGCCGUAAGGCGGAGCUAAUCCUUUAAAGCCGAUCUCAGUUCGAAUUGUGGGCUGAAAUUCGCCCACAUGAAGUUGGAUUCGCUAGUAAUCGCAGAUCAGCCAUGCUGCGGUGAAUACGUUCUCGGGUCUUGCACACCCCGCCCGUCAAGCCACGGAAGUAGGUGAUACUCGAAGGUGUUCUGCUGCUUGCAGUGGGGCAACUAAGGUAACAUUUAUGACUGGGGCU